CGGUACCUUGACGGUACCUAACCAGAAAGCCACGGCUAACUACGUGCCAGCAGCCGCGGUAAUACGUAGGUGGCAAGCGUUGUCCGGAAUUAUUGGGCGUAAAGCGCGCGCAGGCGGUUUCUUAAGUCUGAUGUGAAAUCUUGCGGCUCAACCGCAAGCGGCCAUUGGAAACUGGGAGACUUGAGUGCAGAAGAGGAGAGUGGAAUUCCACGUGUAGCGGUGAAAUGCGUAGAGAUGUGGAGGAACACCAGUGGCGAAGGCGACUCUCUGGUCUGUAACUGACGCUGAGGCGCGAAAGCGUGGGGAGCGAACAGGAUUAGAUACCCUGGUAGUCCACGCCGUAAACGAUGAGUGCUAAGUGUUAGAGGGUUUCCGCCCUUUAGUGCUGCAGCUAACGCAUUAAGCACUCCGCCUGGGGAGUACGGCCGCAAGGCUGAAACUCAAAGGAAUUGACGGGGGCCCGCACAAGCGGUGGAGCAUGUGGUUUAAUUCGAAGCAACGCGAAGAACCUUACCAGGUCUUGACAUCCUCUUGACCUCCCUAGAGAUAGGGAUUUCCCUUCGGGGACAGGAGUGACAGGUGGUGCAUGGUUGUCGUCAGCUCGUGUCGUGAGAUGUUGGGUUAAGUCCCGCAACGAGCGCAACCCUUGACCUUAGUUGCCAGCAUUCAGUUGGGCACUCUAAGGUGACUGCCGGUGACAAACCGGAGGAAGGUGGGGAUGACGUCAAAUCAUCAUGCCCCUUAUGACCUGGGCUACACACGUGCUACAAUGGAUGGUACAAAGGGCUGCAAGACCGCGAGGUUUAGCCAAUCCCAUAAAACCAUUCUCAGUUCGGAUUGUAGGCUGCAACUCGCCUACAUGAAGCCGGAAUCGCUAGUAAUCGCGGAUCAGCAUGCCGCGGUGAAUACGUUCCCGGGCCUUGUACACACCGCCCGUCACACCACGAGAGUUUGUAACACCCGAAGUCGGUGAGGUAACCUUUUGGAGCCAGCCGCCGAAGGUGGGACAGAUGAUUGGGGUGAAGUCGUAACAAGGUAGCCGUAUCGGAAGGUGCGGCUGGA
rnacentral:rRNA from 1 species